UGGAGCAGCUGCACAAGCACCAGGGCUCGGUGCUGCACCCGGAAUUCCGGACCCGCUUCCGCUCCGUGGGCGACGCCCUGAGGAGGCUCCUCCCCUACCACGUCUACCAGGGGAUGCUCCCGGCAGAGGCCGAGUGCCAGAGGGUGGACGAGGAGUUCGCGCUGGUGUCGGAGCAGCUGCUGCGCCGGACGCGGGCGAUGCUCAACAAGUACCGGCUGCUGCUGCUCGAGGAGUCCCGGCGCGUGAGCCCGUCGGCGGAGAUGGUGAUGAUCGACAGGAUGUUCAUCCAGGAGGAGAAGACGGCG